rnacentral:rRNA from 1 species
GACGAACGCUGGCGGCGUGCUUAACACAUGCAAGUCGAACGGAAAGGCCCUGCUUUUGUGGGGUGCUCGAGUGGCGAACGGGUGAGUAACACGUGAGUAACCUGCCCUUGACUGUGGGAUAACUUCAGGAAACUGGGGCUAAUACCGGAUAGGAGCUCCUGCUGCAUGGUGGGGGUUGGAAAGUUUCGGCGGUUGGGGAUGGACUCGCGGCCUAUCAGCUUGUUGGUGGGGUAGUGGCUUACCAAGGCUUUGACGGGUAGCCGGCCUGAGAGGGUGACCGGCCACAUUGGGACUGCGAUACGGCCCAGACUCCUACGGGCGGCAGCAGUGGGGAAUAUUGCACAAUGGGCGGAAGCCUGAUGCAGCAACGCCGCGUGCGGGAUGCCGGCCUUCGGGUUGUAAACCGCUUUCUCCUGUGACGAAGCGUGAGUGACGGUAAUGGGUAAAGAAGCACCGGCUAACUACGUG